rnacentral:rRNA from 1 species
GUUUAGAAAUAGACUUUUCUUCGGACAUUUUUCAAGGUGCUGCAUGGUUGUCGUCAGCUCGUGCCGUGAGGUGUUAGGUUAAGUCCUGCAACGAGCGCAACCCCUGUCACUAGUUGCCAUCAUUAAGUUGGGGACUCUAGUGAGACUGCCUACGCAAGUAGAGAGGAAGGUGGGGAUGACGUCAAAUCAUCACGGCCCUUACGCCUUGGGCCACACACGUAAUACAAUGGCCGGUACAGAGGGCAGCUACACAGCGAUGUGAUGCAAAUCUCGAAAGCCGGUCUCAGUUCGGAUUGGAGUCUGCAACUCGACUCUAUGAAGCUGGAAUCGCUAGUAAUCGCGCAUCAGCCAUGGCGCGGUGAAUACGUUCCCGGGCCUUGUACACACCGCCCGUCAAGCCAUGGAAGUCUGGGGUACCUGAAGUCGGUGACCGUAACAGGAGCUGCCUAGGGUAAAACAGGUAACUAAGGGCUUAG